UCUCCGUAGGUGAACCUGCGGAGGGAUCAUUACUGAGUGAGGGCUCACGCCCGACCUCCAACCCUUUGUGAACACAUCUUGUUGCUUCGGGGGCGACCCUGCCGUUCGCGGCGUGGGGCCCCCGGAGCCCAUCAAACCCUGCGUAACUAAGUCGUCGGAGUUUAAACAAAUUAAACAAAACUUUCAACAACGGAUCUCUUGGCUCUCGCAUCGAUGAAGAACGAAGC
rnacentral:misc_RNA from 1 species